AUAGGCUGACGACCAAAGUCCAUGACCACCAGGCCUUUCUCAAGCCAGGGUUACUGUAGUGUAUGCAAUGCCUCUUAGAUCGCUAUUGAUCAAGAUGGCGGCCUUCCUUCCUGACUUCUGGGUCCUGCACGUCUAUAAAUCUCUACUUCAGAUGUCGUGAUUUGGCACAUACCACAGGGGGUUGGGUGAUGAUACUCCAGAGAGUUUGCCAUAAAAUCUUGAUGGAAACAUGAACGACCAAGUAGCAGGACUGUCUGUACUGCAACCUAGAUCCCCUGCGCUGAGCUCACGCACAUCUGUCAGCCUUCUGUGUCACCUCGUAUGGCUAGAACGCACUUGCCAAAUCAGUGACCACUAAAAUGGAUUUGCUGCUAUGUUCAUUUCCUCUGGUAAAGAUGCCAAACUAGGUGUGGUGACUGCUGGACAACUACCGCUUGAACGGGUUUAGCUGCUCUGCUAUCAGUCAUUAUCCUCCAGGUUCAGUUUGGUUUCUUCAGGGACAACACUGCUGAUGAAAAUGUGAAAUGACCCUUAAAGGUUACAUUCUGAUGUUUGUUUUAUGGUGUAUCGUCAAGGAGAUCUUUUCGUUUUAUAUGUGGGUCUUGAUUGACUAUUAACAAUCCCUAGUCUCCUGUAAUAUUUUUAUAGAACAGCCUAACUACCCCUCAAGCUAUCCUAUUUGUCAUUACUAUUCUCUACCCCAAAUAUCUUGAAAUGUCUAGCAUGUUACAUACCAGGAGCACACAACUCCAGUUCAACACUCGUAUAACCUCUAGCAGGUGAAGUACCACCGUACGCUAAAGGUAUCUGUGUUCUGGUUACCAGAUGUGGUGGGAUUCUCAGUGCCAUUGCACCAAAAAAAUAGACAUCUGAA